UCCGAGCUUUGCAGCAUCUCCCACAUCACCUGCACGUCCUCGUACGCGCACGUCUGGAUGUCGUCGUGAAGCUUCACAAGGAAGCUGCGCCUGUCUGAAAAUAGGCAAUUCUCAUCAGCACAAGCGACAUGGUAUGCGAAGGGAAAUGGAUUGAUUUGAUGCUUCUGGCGUCCAUUCCUGCAACCGUCUGAAAGAUGCCAUCACGCCGCUGCCUGCUGCGGCACGUGUUGGUCUUGGUCGCCGCCCUCUGCUUGGCCAUGGCCUCGUAGCAUCAGCUAGCGGAGCUGGCCACUCUCGUUCACGGGGCACACCAAGCAUUCAGAGUUUCAGACAUGUCAGUCGGUUUUCUGCCCUGUCCAGGUGCGAUGAUCGGAUUCAGUCGCGUCAGGGGCUACAAAUCCAUACCGGACGCCCACACUGCUGCCAACCGAGAACUCAUCCCAACUAAUUCCAGGUUAACAGACAAGCAGCGAAUGGUAUUCGAUUCAAGGCCUAUACUUCAAAGUUAAGAUCGUUCGAGCGAUUGAUUAGUCUUACAAGUUGGGCAACGUCACACCCAUGCUUGAAGCCCCCAUACGGGAAGGAGAGAUACGAGGGACAAGAAGACAGAGGCUAGACGAGAAAGGGGAUGAGCCUAUCAGUUCAUCUUGUGUUUUAGUGUACAUAUUUAAUCUAUUUUGCUUAUCUAGAACAACCGGAGUGCCUGGCGCCUGUUAAUUUAGCGUACGCGACACGCACCUCCCCAUGAGAAAGUGACCCACGAAGUAAAUUGUGCAUGGGUGUGACGUUGCCCAACCAGUAAGAGUAAUCAAUCACUCGACCGAGCUCGAAGCCAAUUGCUUAGUUAACUACAGUGCCUUAGAUUGAUGUCUGUACGGGCUACACAGAAUCGUGACAGGUGCACGUAUCCACGUACCCACAAUGAGCACAAAAUUAAACUUGGUGACGCAGCUAGCUGCCAGAUUGCUGUGAUCUUACUAGAAAGAAAAGAAAAGAGACCGCUAAUUCUUCGUUGUCGCCGUGCAUGGAUUAAUCAUGGUUAAAUCAAAAGGUAUACUAUAAUGCUGCAUGCCACGGCGGCACUUCCAGAAGAUAUAAAGGCAUGACGCAUUGAGUUUUCGUCGGUGCAUGCGCGCGAGCCCGGCCAAAGAGUGUGUCGCCUGGCGCGUAGGGGCAUGCAGCUGGUUGGUGACUUUUCUUCAAGCUUAGAGCAUCAAUCAUGCAUGCACAGUACUACGAACUAAACUAUGUAUAGUUUCUCAACUCCUAUCUAUCUAUCUAUCUAUCUAUAGACGUGGGGAUAUAUAUUCUGGUAGUUGCCGGCUUGCCGCCCAGUACACGAGCCUGCCUGUCGGUUUAUGUUGCAGCAGCAGUGCAUCAUGGCCUACCCACAGCUGAACUACACUCUUUUGAAAAGCACUCCCGUUGGCUAUCCUCGAAAUAAAAUUGGUGCUGUAUAUAUGUUCCGGCAAA